CUCCUACGGGAGGCAGCAGUGGGGAAUCUUGCGCAAUGGGCGAAAGCCUGACGCAGCAACGCCGCGUGGGGGAAGAAGGCCUUCGGGUUGUAAACCUCUGUCAGGAGGGACGAAGCCACCUGCGUUAAUAGCGUAAGGGGUGACGGUACCUCCAGAGGAAGCCCCGGCUAACUACGUGCCAGCAGCCGCGGUAAUACGUAGGGGGCGAGCGUUGUCCGGAUUUAUUGGGCGUAAAGAGCGUGUAGGCGGCCAUGUAAGUCUGAUGUGAAAUCUUGCGGCUUAACCGCAAACCUGCAUUAGAAACUGCGUGGCUAGAGUCUGGAUGAGGAGAAUGGAAUUCCUGGUGUAGCGGUGAAAUGCGCAGAUAUCAGGAGGAACACCGGUGGCGAAGGCGGUUCUCUAGGACAGUACUGACGCUGAGACGCGAAAGCGUGGGGAGCAAACAGGAUUAGAUACCCUGGUAGUCCACGCCGUAAACGAUGGACAUUAGGUGUUGGGAGUGUUGACUCUCCCAGUGCCGCAGCUAACGCAUUAAAUGUCCCGCCUGGGGAGUACGGCCGCAAGGCUAAAACUCAAAGGAAUUGACGG
rnacentral:rRNA from 1 species